AGAGUUUGAUCCUGGCUCAGGACGAACGCUGGCGGCGGGCUUAACACAUGCAAGUCGAACGAGCAGUUAGUUGACGCUUCGGUUGAAACUAACGGGCGAGUGGCGAACGGGUGCGUAACACGUAGGUAACCUGCCCUUGAGAGGGGAACAACCAUUGGAAACGAUGGCUAACACCGCAUAAAGUCCCAACUGCGCAUGCAGUAGGGAUGAAAACUCCGGUGCUCGAGGAUGGGCCUGCGGCGGAUUAGGAAGUUGGUGAGGUAACGGCUCACCAAUCCUGCGAUCCGUAGCUGGUCUGAGAGGAUGAUCAGCCACACUGGCACUGAGACACGGGCCAGACUCCUACGGGAGGCAGCAGUGAGGAAUAUUGGGCAAUGGGCGAAAGCCUGACCCAGCCACGCCGCGUGCAGGACGACACCCCUAUGGGGCGUAAACUGCUUUUACGUGAGAAGAAUUCUCCCGACGUGUCGGGAAUUGACGGUAUCACGUGAAUAAGGACCGGCUAACUCCGUGCCAGCAGCCGCGGUAAUACGGAGGGUCCAAGCGUUGUCCGGAUUUAUUGGGUGUAAAGGGUGUGUAGGCGGGCUUGCCAGUCAGAGGUGAAAGCCCACGGCUCAACCGUGGAACUGCCUCUGAUACUGUAAGUCUUGAGUCCUGGAGAGGUUGUCGGAAUUCGUGGUGUAGCGGUGAAAUGCGUAGAUAUCACGAGGAACACCGGUUACGUAGGUGGGCAACUGGACAGGUACUGACGCUGAGGCACGAAAGCGUGGGGAGCAAACAGGAUUAGAUACCCUGGUAGUCCACGCUGUAAACGAUGGAUACUCGGUGUCGCCGAUUCGUUGGGCGGUGCCUAAGCGAACGCAUUAAGUAUCCCACCUGGGGAGUACGAUCGCAAGGUUGAAACUC
rnacentral:rRNA from 1 species